CUUACAUGGCAUCAGGGAAGGGCCCUGAGCCAUGCGUGCCCGUCCUUGUGUUGUCCUCUGGUAUGGAGUGGCUGGUAUGGGUUGAAAGCAGGACUGCUAGCCUCAGUGGUAAAACUGGUCAUUUCUGUCCUUUUGAGAUGUCAUGCUGGUUCCUCUGUAGUUCCUUUGCAGAAGUCCAUACCUGAGCCAUUUGCCCUAUACACUGCAACCUUUGUACUGACCCCGGGUCCCUGCAGGUCCAUUGAUUCUCACAGUGCCGCGCUCUCUUCUCACUGAGACGUGUGGGAACUUCUAGGUUCCCCGAAUACCACAUGUAGGCCGUGCAGAGCCAGGAGCCUUGCUUUGCGCUCAUUUAUUGAGCCACUUCCCUCCAUCAAUGUUGCAUUAUUCUCCCCAUGUCAUACUGAACAUGCUGUCAAGCUGAAAGCAGAAUUCCUAGAGGGCUCAGCCUUUCACAGGAUGCCCAGAGAAGCAUACUAUCCCCAAUUUUCUUGGAUUUCCCCAUAUCUAUAUGAAUACUUCAACUCUGUACCUCCAGUUCUAGUUGCCACCAUGAGAAGGGACGGAAGAAACUCUUAGGAGGACCAGCUCAACUCUCAGGGGUCCCAGGGAUUUACGGUGAGGAGCGGUGGUAAUAACUGAGGGAGCUGCUAAUCUCUCGCAGUUGGACAAUCCUGGCUGAACAAAGUUCCCAACUCUGUGGGUCUGGCAGGCCAACUCUGUCCUGGCACCUGGUCAGUGUCCUACCUUUGAUGACUGGAUUCUGAUCACUUUAUGUUCCUUGCCUCGUUUCCUGUUUGCUGGACCUGCUCCUCCCAAGGUUCUAAUCUAUGUCGUGGACCUGGGCUGGUAAUUUGACCAAGAUUUCCCGUUUCCUUGCUUGGUAAAUCACCAAUCAUAUUGUUAUAAUCCACAUAAUUUGUGUUCUGUUGACACUAAUGACAAGAUAUACAACGUUUCUUGAAUCAACGUACUUAUUAGUUUUUUAUCUUUUUAUUACGGAAAAUUUCAAACAUUUACAAACAUAGAGGAUAAAAAACUCCAUGUACCUAUCAUCCAGCUUCAACAAUUGUUAACCCUUGGUUGAGCUUGCUUCAUCUAUACUCCCCAACUCUCUAAACCCAAUUAUUUUGAUGCAAAUCCUAGAUAUCAUUCUAUCCGUGAAUGUUAUCAAUAUGCAUCUCUAGAAAAAAGGAUUUCCUAAAAAAUUAACCUUAGUACUAUUGUCACAUGAAAAAAUAAUUCCUUAAUAUCAGAUGUUUUAAAAAUUUGUUUCAAUAAAAUUGGAAAAGUUUUAUUCAGCUGAGGCAGUAGCAACCAGAAUUGUUAGCAAAAUUUCUCAACAUUUAUAUUUGGAAAUGAACCAUGAAUUUUACAUAUUAAUUUCAAACAUUUUAAUGGGAUUGCAAUAAUGAUCAUUACCA
rnacentral:lncRNA from 1 species